AUGGACGCGUCAUCGUCGGAGGACCGUCAGUCGCCACGCAGCAGGCAGCUGCAGCUGCAGGGCCCGCGCCCCCCGCGGCUGUCCGUCAGCAAGGACUCCCACAAGGUCAGGAAGCCGCCCGUCGUGCCGCUGCCCUACGGAGCCCGGCAGCAAGCCCCCAACAACCGCCACCAGCAAGCUCAGCCGCGGGCGCCGGUCAUCAUCUACGACGCCUCGCCCAAGGUCAUCCACACCCAGCCCGGCGAGUUCCUGGCGCUCGUCCAGCGCCUCACCGGCCCGGGCGCGCCGGCUCAGUACUCCGCCGAGGAGGCGGCGGGGUCCUCUGCCAUGCCGCCGCAGUUCCAGCCGCAGGAACUGCCUUUCUCGCCGGCGGCGAGGUACGCCGCGAUCGAGAGGUCCGUCCGGCCGCUGCCGCCUGGGCCCGCGCCGUACGCCGCCGGCUCCUGGCUGGACCUGGAUGGCUUCGCGGAGGUCCUCGGCCCGGGACGGCCCGGGAUCCUCUCGCCCGUGCCGUCAGCGCUGCCGGCGGCGGCCUCGGCGGGGCUGUUCUCGCCGCUGCCGUUCGACACCAGCUCCCUGUCCUGGCUCAACGACCUGAGCCCGUUCCUCGCCUCCGCCGGCGCCCGCGACGCGCCGCCCUUCGCCUCGAGCCCUGGCGGCCUGCUGCUUGCCACGCCCACCGUGCCCUCGCCGGGGAUGAUGAUGCGGUUCUUCAGCGACUUUCCGGACCUGUAA
rnacentral:rRNA from 1 species